rnacentral:rRNA from 1 species
GGAAGUAAAAGUCGUAACAAGGUCUCCGUUGGUGAACCAGCGGAGGGAUCAUUAUCGAGUCACCACUCCCAAACCCCCUGCGAACACCACAGCAGUUGCCUCGGCGGGACCGCCCCGGCGCCCCAGGGCCCGGACCAGGGCGCCCGCCGGAGGACCCCCAGACCCUCCUGUCGCAGUGGCAU